rnacentral:rRNA from 1 species
AGGACGAACGCUGGCGGCGUGCUUAACACAUGCAAGUCGAGCGACGCACCACUUCGGUGGUGACGGAGCGGCGAACGGGUGAGUAACACGUGGGCAACCUGCCCCUAGCUCUGGGACAACACCGGGGAAACCGGUGCUAAUACCGGAUACGACACCGAGCGGCAUCGCUUCGGUGUGGAAAGUUUUUCGGCUAGGGAUGGGCCCGCGGCCUAUCAGCUUGUUGGUGGGGUAAUGGCCCACCGAAGGCGACGACGGGUAGCCGGCCUGAGGACGGGCGACCGGCCACGACGUGGGACUGGAGACGACGGCCCAGUACUCCGUACGGGAGCAGCGAGGUGGGAAUAUUGCGUGAAGUGGGACGAAAGCGUGAACGCAGGCGACCGUCGCGUGAGGAGUAGAAGGUCCGUUCGGGUACUUAACCUCUUACGAGGCGUAGGGAACG